rnacentral:lncRNA from 1 species
UCUGCAAUGGUCGUGGCUGACAUUCGUUAGAGUGAAGAUCUCCAAAUACUUGUGGGUCCAUUCAAGCCAAAUCAUCAACCCAAUACUCUUCAGCCUUACACUGGAACAAAUAGGCCAAAAUUUCAAAAGGAGAGAUUCUUUGAUGAACAUCACUAUUUCAUCAGCACAAAUCCAUUUGAAUCUCCAAGGAUAAGGCGCAAUAGAUUCCGGACAACUACUAAUCUCAACUACUAUGGUAUUGUACUCUUUAAC